AUUGAACGCUGGCGGCAGGCCUAACACAUGCAAGUCGAGCGAGCGGCGGACGGGUGAGUAAUGUAUGGGGACUGCCCGAUAGAGGGGGAUAACUACUGGAAACGGUAGCUAAUACCGCAUACUAUCGGAUAACCCAUAUGGGAUUCACUAGUAGGUGGGGUAAAGGCUCACCAAGGCAACGAUCCGUAGCUGGUUUUAUAGGCCGACCAGCAACACUGGGACUGAGACACGGCCCAGACUCCUACGGAGGCAGCAGUGGGGAAUAUUGCACAAUGGGCGCAAGCCUGAUGCAGCCAUGCCGCGUGUAUGAAGAAGGCCCUAGGGUUGUAAAGUACUUUCAGUCGGGAGGCGUUACCGACAGAAGAAGCACCGGCUAACUCCGUGCCAGCAGCCGCGGUAAUAC
rnacentral:rRNA from 1 species